GGGCCCCGUUUCAGGGGCCGUGACACGGGCCGCGUGCACCUUCUCCCCGUCCCCCUGCACACACUGCACGGUCUGUCACACGGCUCCUCCCGGGAAACGACACGCUCCGCGGGGCUGUUUCCUUUGCCCCGGCGAGGUCGACACACAGCGGUGCCAGAUCCCCCGUGACCAGCACGCCCCGCCGUCCCUUACCGGGCGUGCGGCGCCCUCCACGGCCCUCCCGCAGCCCCUCGCCGCCGCGCCUCGGCUUCCGCCGCUCCGCUGGCUCGGAACACGCCGGGCCUUUCCCCUUCUCAUCGUCCACCGAUGCGGCUCAGCCCUGCGUGAGGCGUCCGCAAACAGUGGACAGGCGAGAGAAUGGAGCCACGAGGAACUUAGGUAGACACACCUCGCGAAUACAAACAAUACCUUCUCUAUCCUGCACCUGUCAGGCACUGUGCCAGCACAUUCGGAUCUUUCAGAUACUGGGGUAAAUAGGAAGAAAAAUAAGAUUUGGCUUCUGCCCUCAAACAAACAAAAAACAUUGCAACGCCACCCAGCCACUGGCUGGAUCUCGAUGGCCACUUUGGCCCAUUUCGGAAAGCGGUUUUUGCCCGCACGGCCCACAUAUGCUGCUCCUCCCCCUUAAAGGCCAUCUCUUGUCAGCUACCAGUUAGAGUAUGCGUCACUGUCCUCCACCCAAACGCUACCGGGAACGCACCUGUAUGAACAAGCUGGCCUUAUCACUUGUUACUCUGAGGAAGAACGCACGCCGCACAUGCGAUGGGCCGAACUGCGUCCAUUCCCACAGUAACGUGUCGAAGGCCUCACCCCAAUAACUCAGACUGUGAACGUAUUUGCAGAUAGGGCCUUUAAACAGAUGAUUAAGUUCAAGUGGCUGGUGUCUUUAUAAGAGGAGAAAAUUUGUACACAUAAAGAGAUGCCAGGGCCACGUGCAGACAGCGAAACGACCCAGUGAGGACACGGCGAGAAGGUGGCCAUCUGCAAGCUACGCAGAAAAUGCUCAGGAGAAAUCCCAUGUACUGACACCUUGAUCUUGGACUUCUCCCCUCCACAACUGUGAAAAAAUAAAUUUCUGUUGUGGAAGCCACUCAGUGUCGGCUAUUUCGUUAUGGCGGCCUGGCAGACGAAUACUAUAUACAGCCAUGGGGUGUCUCAGUAAGAGGGCGGGAGGAAGGACUUACUGCGGGCCUUGGGCUUCGCUCGGAUGAUCUGCGGCAGAAUCUAGGAGAGUGGCGGCUCGUUCUGUAUCCAAUGCUGUCAGACAACAAGGGCGAGUCUGCGGGAUUUUAAUCUCAUCUACAGGAAGGGCAGACUAACGUGGGGAUACAGCCUUUGUGCGCGGCACAGUGAACUUUUGUCUGUGCUUAGACUAAACCACGUGGCACUGUUUUGUCUCACUUUAUCAUGUUCUCACAGUAACCUUGUCCGAUGGCAGUAUUUUGUGAGAUUAUGUCCAACGAGAGAACAACGCGGCCUCCCAGUGAGUGCCGGGCCAGCUUCCAGGUGUCGGGGGCUGCGGCCUUUUCUUUCUCACGUGACCAGUUGACACAAUUCAUUACUUGUAACUCACUCGGCCUUGGGUCAGUUAUUUUACUUCUUUGUGCCUCAGCCUCCUCACCAAAAAUCGAAGGACAUAGAAUUAAACAUAGGAUUGCCGUGGGAACUACAUGAAGGAAUGUGUGUAUACACGUACUGUUGGAACAGUGCUCGGCACGUAGGCAGCUUUCACUGACUGGACGCUUCUCCGUUCCGGGCGUCUCUAACAGACAGUUUAGCAUGAACUACAUAUCAUUACAGUUAUGCAUUUAUACUCUCUCCCUUGCUAGACCGUGAGCGCCUUGAGGGCAGGGGCGAUGUCUAUUGCCAUAGUGUACUAGCUAAUUUUAUGAAGAGAUUUCCGUGGGCCGGGCACCGUUAGUUCUGGUUGCUCCAGGGAAACUUCUGCGACCCCAGCCCCACCUGUAGGCCACCCUGCUGUCCUCUGCGCUCCCGUAGCAGCCGUGUUUACCUUAGUCGUGAUACUCAGCCCAUGGUACUGAUUCUGUCUGCUAAUGUGUUCUUCCCCUUCUAGACUCUUCAAUUACAGAGAGGAAAACAUGGUGUUUUUUACAUUUACAAAUAAAAUCUAUAUCUAAUGUGUA